rnacentral:lncRNA from 13 species
AUGGAAAUGGCUCCCACAGUUGCCAUGGAUAUCUCCUACAGGAGGCUUUGCAAGUUCCACAUGAAGGGGCUGAAAUUAAUAAACUCCUUUGAACUCAGAGGAAACAAACCAGGGCUGAUUUUGAGGUUCCAAUGUGCCCUUGUGAAUGCGGAUUUUGGAAGAGAUACUAACAAUAGGGCCCCACAAGGCAGUAUGAGCAGCUUCAGCAUACGAUGGGAUAGAGGAGCCACUUCCGCUGAACCCACGCUGAUCCCUUGCUCUGCCUGUUCCUCAGAACAUCUACUACCAUAAAAAGAUGACCACAAUAAACAGGAGAGAUGACUGCA